ACGACCGAAUAGAUAUUGCUAGUUAGAUAGCUGCUAAUCUGCUUGGUAUCUGAUUGAUUGCUAAUAGAGUAGAGAAUGCUAGCUAUCUAUCUACCUACAUAUCUGCUUGAUAUUCAAUGGUUCACUAUACAAAUAGAUAUUGUCAUCUAGCUACCAAUCUAUCUACCAAGCUACCUGCAUGAUAUCUGAUCAAUUGCUAAUGAAAUAAAAAAUGAUUGCUAGAUAGCAAUCUAGCUACCAAUCUAUCUACACAAUGUCUGGUCAAUUGCUAAUAGAGUAGAGAACACUAGCUACCUAUCUACCUCCCUACCUACCAACCACCC
rnacentral:sRNA from 1 species